GGGUGCAGUCAUACCAACGUUAAUGCACCUGAUCCCAUCAGAAAUCUACAGAUAAACAUGCUUGGGAUAGAGUAGUACUGGGAUGGGUGACCUCCCGUGAAGUCCUAGUGUUGCACCCU
rnacentral:rRNA from 1 species